rnacentral:rRNA from 1 species
UACGAAGGGUGCAAACGUUGCUCGGAAUUAUUGGGCGUAAAGCGCACGUAGGCGGCUUUGCAAGUCGGAUGUGAAAUCCCUCGGCUUAACCAAGGAAGUGCAUCCGAAACUGCAGAGCUUGAGUACUUAAGAGGAUCGCGGAAUUCCCGGUGUAGAGGUGAAAUUCGUAGAUAUCGGGAGGAACACCAGUGGCGAAGGCGGCGAUCUGGGAAGAUACUGACGCUGAGGUGCGAAAGCAUGGGGAGCGAACAGG